GUGCAAUAGCGAUAGAAACGGCAUCCUUUUUUUGAAGAAUGAAAAAAAAGAUAUAGUGGAUAGCGCGUUUUUUU
rnacentral:sRNA from 1 species